AGCUUAGCUACCAACUGUCAGUUUUUGACAGGUCUUGGUUCUCGUCUCCAUGGACACGUUUAAGUUAAUAAAAAGGAACAUGUUAGAAAAGCAGUUGAACAUACAUGCAGGUAUAAUGGGGUGUAGAAGUUUGCACAGUGUCAGCAUGUGGUGUGUGCAGACAGGUGAGGUGUCUUACCUGUUUCACUCCAACCUGGAGGAACAAACCGAACCCAGACUCCUCCAGGAGCUGCAGUCUGAGCGCCUCUUCUCUCUCAGUCAUCCGUCGGUCCCCCUCAGCCAUUUAUCCGCAGAGAAGCUCCGACCUGCAGCCGAGUAACUCUCCUCCAGAUCCCCUCCUCUUUGAGUUCAGCUGCUCUCCUCGCAUUUUAGCAAGGUGAGGGCAGAAGAGUCGCUGAGUGACUCUUUAUCCGACGUGGUCACCGCUCCUCUGCCAGCAGCAGUCUGAAGGUCUGCAGCUCUCUGAUGCUCGUGGAAAUCCUGUGAGACAUUUGAGUGUGAGGCAGAUAUGAUCACAUGACACUGAGAGACUCUCUUACCGUCCGAAGGCGUUGAGCAGAGAAACAAUCUCUUGUCGGCUGAGCUGGAAUCUGGGUCGCUGGUCGCUGGAUGAGGGCAGAGCCUCAAUCUGUCGCUCUGAAAACAAAAUCUUCAGUGAUGUUCCUAAUCCCUGAGUCUGGUGACGACAGAGAGAAAGAAAAGGAUCAAAACAAAGCAGAGUGUCACAAUGCUGCGCUAACAACACAUGUAGACCUAUUGUAACAUUGAAGAUGUUUGAGUUUUCCCCACAGUCGGCACUUGAAGCAGCCCACACAGUCCAUGAUCCUGGAGAUGUUCAGGAAGGCCAGUCUGAUGUCCUCCUGAUGUUCAUACAGCACAGGAAACACAUCAUGUCACUUUAAAGGCCAAGGAGAUACGUAAAAAGUGGUUGAAUUCACUGCAACUUAAGACAUUCUUCAGGAGAGGUCUCUGAUAAAGAACUUUAAUACAUCUAA